rnacentral:lncRNA from 1 species
AAAAACAUGGAAGGAACGACACAGUAACAACAAGGAGCAUAGAACUCACAGAGGAAUGCAGAAUAACACAAAACAAGCAAAUAAUGCAAACACAAACAACCAAAAUUAGGGGUUCGUCGGACUUAAGCAAAACAUUUAGAAUAGUAUUGAGAAUUACGAAUUAGUACUCAAAAAUCAAAAAAUAAAGUGAUUUCAAAAAGUGGUCAGAAACCCUAGUUUCAAAAGGAACAGAAAUCGUUUAAAACCGGAAUAAUCAUAAAGAUCAAGUAAAAAAUAGUGCAAAACAUGAAGGUGUGAGUUAAAAUCAUUGAGGAAAUCAGAGAUUUGAGAGGUUUGGUUUACGAUUAGGGUUUCAUAAGAAACCAGUGAGAGGGGUAAGAGAAACCUGGUCGUGAAGCUCAAAGAUAAUGGUGUUUUUAGCAUCAUCGAACCAAAAUCCAUCGGAGAAAGGCCGGAAUCAAACCCCGGCGAGGCUUCAAUGACCAUCUUCAUGGCGGAGGCUUCUGGGGUUUCAAACUUUGGAGAGAAGUAGCGAUAUAGGAUCCCAUGGUAGCUAGAGAUCGAGAGAAGUGAGAACGGAGCAUGGCCGGAGAGGCGAUGAAGUUCGUCGGAGAAGAAGGAGGGAACCAGAAAGUUCUAGAGAGAAUUGAGAGUAAUCGUUCGAGUGAGAGUGAGAUAGAGAUAGAGAC